CGAACGGGGAUAUAUUGGAAUGAGGAUUCGUCUGAAGGAAAAUGUAUCUUAGUGGCGGACGGGUGAGUAACGCGUGGGCAACCUACCGUAUACAGGGGGAUAACACUUAGAAAUAGGUGCUAAUACCGCAUAAGCGCACAGCAGUGCAUACUGGAGUGUGAAAAGCCGAGACGGUAUACGAUGGGCCCGCGUCUGAUUAGCCGGUUGGCAGGGUAACGGCCUACCAAAGCGACGAUCAGUAGCCGGCCUGAGAGGGCGGACGGCCACAUUGGGACUGAGACACGGCCCAGACUCCUACGGGAGGCAGCAGUGGGGGAUAUUGCACAAUGGGGGGAACCCUGAUGCGGCGACGCCGCGUGAGUGAAGAAGUAAUUCGUUAUGUAAAGCUCUAUCAGCAGGGAAGAAUAAAUGACGGUACCUGAGUAAGAAGCCCCGGCUAACUACGUGCCAGCAGCCGCGGUAAUACGUAGGGGGCAAGCGUUAUCCGGAUUUACUGGGUGUAAAGGGAGCGUAGACGGCGAUGCAAGCCAGAUGUGAAAGCCCGCGGCUCAACUGCGGUAGUGCAUUUGGAACUGUAUGGCUGGAGUGCAGGAGAGGCAGGCGGAAUUCCUAGUGUAGCGGUGA
rnacentral:rRNA from 1 species